ensembl:lncRNA
AAGUGGAUGAGGCUGCUCGUGUGCUGGUCAGAUCUAACUCCAAGACCCCCCACACUCCCCCCGGAAUGAAAGGAAAUGUUCUUGUGCAAGAUGGAAACAUAUGGAGAGCUGCUGUGUUAAUAAUUGCAGACCAACAUGUGUGGAGCCUCCAGACAGUGGCUGCUUUGUGGGGAGACGAGAGAUGAGUCCGUCCAUCAAGGGAGGGAACAACUGCCGAUUGUCUGUUUUCAUCCAGGCGUCGUCGAAUAUUAACUAGUAGUGACGAAGGAUAAAAUAUCCUGUUCGGGUUCAGCUUUUUUCUUUUUUACGAAAAAUGAUUUAAAGGACACUUCUAUCCGAGAGGAAAACAAGUGGUCAAAGCCUGAACACGCUUAUUUUUCAUUAUUUCUUCUAACAUAAAAUAAUCAAGGACAAGAUGAAACACCAUUUUUUUUAUCAAGGACUAAUUAUUUUUUAAAGUUUUGAGAUAAAGGGGGCACCGCCACGCUGCCGGCAUGGGAAAUGCUUAAUGAACCUACAGAAAGUCCAUUAUUGGAGGAUGGCGAGGAUUCAGAAAGUGUUCAAAAGCACAACGGGAGACGGCCACAGAUGUACACCUACCAAUUAUGUGCUGGGGAGGUCCUAGCUGCUAAAGACCCUCCACAAGGCAGCAAGGUGUUCAGCAUCAUCGCCUUCUCCCCCUGCAAGACCCACACCGAGAGGCCUGAGGAUUAAUCACUAUUAUCCAGUGCACCUCCUGAAUGAUUGUUCAAUGGGAAACACCUGCCGGCCGUGAGGCCACAAGCCAGUGGGCCAGCUAUAAAAGCCAGCCGAACCCUCCCAGUGGGGGAAGGGCCGUGGCGACGAGAGGGAG